UAAAAGAAAAGAAAAAGUGGGUUCGAGUAAAUCUUUUUAGGCCCAAUAUUCUUCUUGGGAUUGAUGUGGUAAAAAAUUAAAAAUAAAAAUAAAAAACCUUCUCUUUUUUAUGCUAUAAAUACCCACUCGCUCUUGCUCACUCUUUCAUAAUUCUACAAUUCCCCACUUUUUCUUUUACCUUUUCUUUCAUUUUCUUUCCAACCAAACAAAACCCUGUUUCUCAAAUUCUUCUAGGGUUUCAUUCUCAUAUAUGACUCUAUAUGAAACGGACACGUAUUUGUAUAUAUGACUCUAUUUGUAUUCUUCCACAGCUUUCUUGAACUGCAUCUCUUUACAAAAUUGUGCAUGCCACUGUACGAUCCGUUCAUUUGUUUUAUGCUUGCGGUUCAAUAAAGCUGUGGGAAGAUACGAACAGGGUCAAGAAAUCAGCACCCGAUUAUUGGAUUGUUUCCAUACGUAUCUCAUCGACCAUUUUGAUUUAUGUUUUGGUUGUAUCGACAAGCUUUAUGGCUACCCAUGUGGAGGUUUCGUUUCGUUGCUUGAAAAUAAUACUUUUUGUAAGUAUACAAUCAAUACUCAUCUUUAUAAUUCCCUGUCGGUCGAUCUGUACAGUAACUGUUAAUUCAGUCCUUUUCUUUACAUUCCACUGCAAGGAUUUAAAUUUGAUGGAAUAGUUUGAUGUUCUUUUAAACCCUUGAUUACACUUUAAUAAUUAAACCUUUUUAGCAGUUUAGGCUUAAUUAUUCUUUAGGGUGUGUGUAGAUUAGAUUGUACUUUGUAGAAUAUAUGGACCACAUUUGGAAGGGGAAAACAAGUUGUAAUUCAGUUGAUGAUUGGUUAGAUAAAGCUUUCAAUGGUAAAGAAUAAACAUAUAAAACUAAAACAAAGAAACAUUUGUUUUCUCUUUUGUUUAAUGUUUCAACUGUAAUGGAUCGGAUUAAACUUGUGUAAUGCUUGAUGCAUGUGUUAGGGUUUUCUUUUUUCUUUAAUGAACUGCUGUAAAUACAACAAAGUGAAAAGAAAAUUAAAGUCUUUGUAGAUCGCACAAAAAAAGAGCCCAGUGUCUUGUCUUGUUAGGGCUAACAUGCUCUGAAACUCAUAUAUAUCAUGGUUUUGUUGCCUU